rnacentral:rRNA from 1 species
UGGGGAAUAUUGGACAAUGGGCGAAAGCCUGAUCCAGCCAUGCCGCGUGUGUGAAGAAGGUCUUCGGAUUGUAAAGCACUUUAAGUUGGGAGGAAGGACAGUUACCUAAUACGUGAUUGUUUUGACGUUACCGACAGAAUAAGCACCGGCUAACUCUGUGCCAGCAGCCGCGGUAAUACAGAGGGUGCAAGCGUUAAUCGGAAUUACUGGGCGUAAAGCGCGCGUAGGUGGUUUGUUAAGUUGGAUGUGAAAUCCCCGGGCUCAACCUGGGAACUGCAUUCAAAACUGACUGACUAGAGUAUGGUAGAGGGUGGUGGAAUUUCCUGUGUAGCGGUGAAAUGCGUAGAUAUAGCAAGGAACACCAGUGGCGAAGGCGACCACCUGGACUGAUACUGACACUGAGGUGCGAAAGCGUGGGGAGCAAACAGGAUUAGAUACCCCCGUAGUCCCUGAGCGGGCUGGCAAGGCGCAU